rfam:Buttiauxella agrestis ATCC 33320 GBAG.assembly.010, whole genome shotgun sequence.
GCCGCCUUUAUAAACACGUUCCUUGCUUCCAUGGGCCGCGGCUGACCCUGACAGGAGGCUGAAUAAUCCGUAAGGAGCAAUUCGAUG